CAGCUCCCGUCUAAACACAGCCAUGCUCUUACCUGAAGUUACAACCGCCCAAGACCCUACACACUUCUGUGUAAACACUGUUCAAACCUUCCUUAUACCUUUUCCAAACCUAACAGAACAACCCUUUCCAGAUGCCCCCUUUACUUAGUUUGUAGAUGGCAGCUCCUUCCUACAUCAAGGACGCUGGCAUGCUGGCUAUGCUAUAGUGUCACCCCACACACACACACUAUUGAAGCCAAUCUGCUCUUGCUAAGCACCACCUCUAAAAAAGCUGAACUCGUCGCUCUUCCUCAAGCUCUCACUCUAGCAGCCAGACAACAAAUCAACAUAUAUUCAAAUUCUCGUUAUACAUUCUACAUAGUGUACUCACACUCGUCCAUCUGGAAAAAACGAGGCUUCCUAAUUGCAAAAAACACUCCUGCCAUAAAUGGCUCUCUCAUCAGCAAACUCCUUCAAGCUGCCAGGCUUCUACAGAAAGUUGCCAUCAUUUAUUGCAGGGGCCACCAAACCCCGGAUGAUCCUAUAUCAGCUGGAAAUAGGCUAGCAGAUCAGAUAACCAAACAAGUAGCCCUCCAACCCAUGCAAGGCCAGUUUCUGUCCCUGUCCUUUUUCUCUCCUCUUUACUCCUCAGAAGAAAAGGAGGACUUCCAAGCCCAAAACCUUCAAAAGCAAGGACCAUGGUAUGUCAAGGAAAGGUGCUUUAUUCUUCCUCACUCUCAAAGCCUUCCUCACCUCCAAAGCCUCCACAACCCUUUCCAUAUCAGUUACAACCUCUCUUGCAACUUCUCUGCCCUAUUCUCACUUGCCCUCACCUUUCCAGCCAUGUUUGAGAAAUUACCUAGUCCUGCUCUGUCUGCCACUCAGUGUCACCCCAAGGCUCCUUCCAGCCACCUUUUCCUACCCACCAAGCCCAGGGCCAGGUACCCAGGCAAAAUUAACAAAUGGACUUCACUCACAUGCUGGCCAAUAAACGGCUCCACUAUCUUCUAGUCUUUAUCUGUACUUUCUCCAGGUAGAUAAAAGCAUUCCCAACAACUUCAGAAGGUAUAAAUGUCAUCACACAAACUCUCUUCAUGCAUAUAAUUCUCCGUUUUGGACUUCCAACAUUCAUCCAGUCCAACAACGGACCCUCCUUCAUCAGCCAAAUUAUCCAAGGCAUCUCUACAUCCUUAGGUAUAAAAUGGGUUCUCCACACACCCUAUAGGCCUCAAUUCUCAGGCAAAGUUGAAAAAAUUACGUCUGUCCUUAAAGCCCAACUCACCAAGCUGGCUCUAAAAACUCACCAGUCGUAAACAAAAAAUCUCCCUUUCACCCUUAUAAGACUCCACACAACACCAAAAGCACCCUCUUUUUAUAGUCCCUUUGAAAUCAUAUAUGGCCAAACUUUUGUCUUGGGGUCUCCACCCUUACCAGACUCUGAGCCACUCAGAUAUUACCUCUCCUCCUUAAUCCAGACAUGGUCUUUCAUUCGUGAAGCAGCAAAUAAGGCCAUGCCUCUCCCUGUUAACACCUUUUUGUCCUCUGAACGUAACUGUCUUACAGGCACAGACGUGUUUCCAGACAAUCCAGAUGAUGCUUCUGCUACAGCGACAUGGUAAAUACCAACCCGUCUCUCAACAAUACCCCCAAAAUUAAGAUUUUCUUUUUCCAAGAUGUCCACGUCACCCCCUAUGUCAUGCCUGAAGUAAUUAUUGAGCCCAGUCCCAAGGCGCAAGGGCCACUUGUGUCAGCAGUGUGCACCAGCAGCGUGCGCCGGCAAGAUAGCAGAAGCAUGAAAAGGGCCGGCCAGAAGACACCUACUCUGGCUGGAAGACACGUACCCCUGAAGAUCAAGAAAGAAGCUAUCUGGGAACAAUGUAGCAGUUACGUCAGACCAGGACACUUCCUGUUUACAGGAGACUAUAAAACCUUUGUCCUAUCAUCACUUGAUGUGGACGCCAUUUUAGGCCUCAGCCCGCCUGCACCCAGGCACUGAUUAAAACAG
ensembl:lncRNA novel transcript